rnacentral:tRNA from 1 species
AUCGGGCUGAUAAGCUUUUUACAACUCGUCAGGGCUCAUAAGCUGAAGGUCAUAGGUUCAAAUCCUAUCCCCGCAACCA